rnacentral:lncRNA from 1 species
UAUCGAAAAAAGAGAAUGAAGAAGAAAUUUAAAACGCGCCAUACGUGACGUCAUAAAGAACAUUUCCUCUUAGUUUAGUUGUCUGGCGUUUGGGCUGUGUUAUGUUGACGACGUUAUAUUUAGUCCUUCCACAUUCUAAUUCACUGUUGGAGUGAUGGAACUAAUGGUCUACCGUUUGAAGUUUAUUGAGAUGGUUGAGAAUGUUCCUUAGUCAUUAGAUUGGAUAUAUGGAAGUCGGAAUUUUCGACUGUUAAGUCACGACAUCAUCUUACUGAAGUAUGGGUUGCAAAAUUCUAACAAACUAUGUCUGAAGGCUUCUUACUGUAUAAGUUUCGCAUCACCAUAAGGCAUGGGAGGAUCUCAUGCCUUAUAGUACAUAAUCUCAAAAGAGUAUGUCAUAGAAGUCAUAUCGUAUGUGAAAAUUUAACUCCGAAGAUAAACCGUUCAGUAAUAGAAAAGUACAUCGUGGGCAUGUGAAAAGGAAGAAGUUGUUUGAAACAAAGUUUCAAGAAAUUAAAUAAUUAUUACAGUGGCUGUGGUUUCUAGUUUCCUUAUACAAAGAGUUAUAUACUAUAGAAAAGUAGUUAUUAUUGUAACACUUACUCUAGAAUAACGAUUCUUGAAUUACUUCAAAAUGCCAAAUAAAUUAAACUAUAUUA